rnacentral:rRNA from 1 species
CGAAGGGUGCAAGCGUUGUUCGGAUUUAUUGGGCGUAAAGCGCGCGUAGGCGGACCUGCAAGUCAGAUGUGAAAUCUCGGGGCUCAACCUCGAAACUGCGUCUGAAACUACAGGUCUAGAAUCUCGGAGGGGAAGGGGAAUUUCGCAUGUAGGGGUAAAAUCCGUAGAUAUGCGAAGGAACACCAGAGGCGAAGGCGCCUUCCUGGACGAGUAUUGACGCUGAGGCGCGAAAGCGUGGGGAUCAAACAGGAUUAGAUACCCUGGUAGUCCACGCUGUAAACUAUGAACACUAGGUAUUGGAGGAUUUGACCCCUUCAGUGCCGUAGCUAACGCGUUAAGUGUUCCGCCUGGGAAGUACGGUCGCAAGACUA